CACCUUCCCCUCCAUAUAAAAGUCUGUGCGGGGGUGCUGAUUUAAACUAAAAUAGAUACAAACCAAGGCAUUAUUCCCAGGCAAAGGCAAGAGAUUUCUCUGCCCCACAGAAAUGGAUGCAGGGCUGCCACAGUUUAUCAGGGACAGCGUGAAUGCGGGAGACCCGCUCUUCCUCCCUCCACCCGUGCUGUCGGCAGGCACAGAGGAUGCCUCUUGCAUGGGGGAGAAUUUUUCAGCCUGUCCCUUCCUGGCCUCCCCCCACGGCGGCUCUCCCGCGGUAUCCGGACCAGGAGGAGGCUGAUGCGGGGCUCCCAUCGUAGCUCGCCCCGGACUAGCACCGAAGGACAUCCCCGGCCGCACAGACCACUUCGGACCCGCUUUCAGAACUUUCCGUCCUGCCCUUUCUCACUGCAAAACUUCCUUAGGAGAUGCAGCGGCUGGAAUUUGUUCCCUCACUUGCUUUCUUAGACACACGGACACGCACGCUCUUAGAGCAGAGCUCUUAAGAGGGAGGAACUCCUACAACUUUCCUCGCAUAGAAAAGCUGUUCUUCUGAAAGGUACCGCAAAAGCUCUUCCCGGGGCACUGCUCAAGACAUAAAUCAUCUCUUCUCUAACCCUAAACGCCACUCAAGUGUCAAGCAAACAGACAGAUACUUCAAGGGGAAUCAGCUCAAAGGUCUCAAAUCACAGCGUUACGCCCGCACGGGAUCGGCUCGGGGGGGAUCAGAGACGGGCGGCCGAAACUUAACAACUACUUGACAGGUUUUUUACUGAUCAAGCACCGUAUUAGCCAUGCUUUCCCCUACUGUGGAAACAAUAAAGCAAAAGAAUGGAAACAAUUACGAGGAAGCCACGCAAGCUGCGCAGAGCCUUAGGCAACCGCGUUUGCCAGUCUUUUUUCUAUUGUUAUUAUAAUUAUCAUCACCAUCGUGCCGUUACUACGGCUACAAUGAGCAGCAGCGACAGGAAAAAAAAAAAAAAAAUAAAUAAAAAAAAUCACACAGCAAUUCAUCCCUCCGGAUGCCAAAUAAAGAGGGACUUCGCUACCCGACUCCGGUAGCACGUCCCAGCUCUCCCCCAGCAUCCCCUUCUGAGUCAAUCCUACGUAUAUCAUCACAUUCAGGCUUAAACACACAAUGAAGAAAGUGUCGGGAAAUCUUACCAAAUCUUAAUACAUGUGUGGUUCCUUGAGAAUAUCCAAUCCACAGUAAGCAGAGAAGGAGUCUAAUCGUGCAUCUGAUGACUGAAUUAGUUACGAUAUGGGAAAUCUUCAUGAUGUUUCUAUGCACACACGCGCUGCCUUACUUCCCCCUUCUAAGCCGUCAGGUUUCCCGGUAGGGUGAGAAUGAGGAUACGUAAACUGAUGGCCCUCAGACACGAUCACGGCAUGGUCACAGAGAGAGCAGAGAGUCUACGCUUCCCAAACCUAUUAGCAAUCCCUGCAUGUUCUUCAUUCACUGCGCCAAGGAGCAACCUUCAACUGCAAGGAAUGGUGGGACAUCCAUGUUAGUCGGGGGAGAAUCCUUGAGAAAUCCAAACACACACAGUGUCCAGCCGAGUAAACCUGGGAGGCGAGAAAGGAGGAAAAUCAAUAGGUAAUCCAGCUCGAGAAAUCGCUGAGGUACCGCCACAUAGCGAGCACACGCCGUUUCACUGGCGAAGCUUUUGCCGUGCUCCCAUUCUACUGCACUGCUGCACAGCUUCUGACGCGAAGCCAAGAUUAAGUGAGAGAAAUUGAGAUAGCUCUUCUCUGCUUAAAGCUGCCUGCCAGACAGCCCUCCCGAUUUCUAUUAUGCAACCGAUCUGAUCGCCCAGCUUUGUCGGAG